rfam:Schistosoma mansoni, Puerto Rico, WGS project CABG01000000 data, contig: 0169
AUCCAGCUGACGAGUCGCAAAUAGGACGGAACGUACGUCCUGGAU